rnacentral:rRNA from 1 species
AGGACGAACGCUGGCGGCGUGCUUAACACAUGCAAGUCGAGCGGUAAGGCCCUUUCGGGGGUACACGAGCGGCGAACGGGUGAGUAACACGUGAGCAACCUGCCCUUCACUUCGGGAUAAGCCUCGGAAACGGGGUCUAAUACCGGAUAUCACUGCCCGUCUCAUGGUGGGUGGUUGAAAGUUCUGGCGGUGGGGGAUGGGCUCGCGGCCUAUCAGCUUGUUGGUGGGGUAAUGGCCUACCAAGGCGUCGACGGGUAGCCGGCCUGAGAGGGCGACCGGCCACACUGGGACUGAGACACGGCCCAGACUCCUACGGGAGGCAGCAGUGGGGAAUAUUGCGCAAUGGACGAAAGUCUGACGCAGCAACGCCGCGUGAGGGAUGACGGCCUUCGGGUUGUAAACCUCUUUCAGCAGGGACGAAGCGAGAGUGACGGUACCUGCAGAAGAAGGACCGGCCAACUACGUGCCAGCAGCCGC